rnacentral:rRNA from 1 species
AUGCCCUCAAGGGGAUCAGCCCUCCAUCGAGCCGUAAGUAGAGAGGGGAGGUUUAAAAUGAGAGAAAUCCUUGUUUUAUUUCUGAGGAAAAUAACCGAAAUUUUACCUUGUAGUUCGGAUCUCAGCCCUUUUCAGCAGAGCUCAUCUUCGGGGGAUCUUCUUCCGGAGAUGAUGGAGAGCGGAACGCCUCCCCCUGCCAUACCGCCUUACGAGGCGGGCGAUCCUGAGGUAUCGUCGCGGAGGGUUUCUCUGAAUCCGCCAGGGCCGGAAGGUAGUCAUAUGGCCCCCCAAGGCCAUCCGUGUCCGGUCUUUGAAAAAGGCCAUCGAACGAGUCCGACACCGCCUGGUGCUCGGUCGAAUGAACUGAAGGAUCUGUUAGGGCGAGCGUCUAUCUCAGAGGAACACCGUAUGUUGAUGGGUACGGUAAUUGAAAGGAUCUCAUCCACUGAAAGCGGGUUGCACGAGGCCGUCAGGAGUUUACUGACAGGUUUUGAGGUACGCGAGGUGAUGUACCUUUUGACAGUUCCGCAUAUAAGAUGUGCCCUGUGUAGAUAG